rnacentral:rRNA from 1 species
AGUGAACGCUGGCGGCAGGCCUAACACAUGCAAGUCGAGCGCCUCGCAAGGGGAGCGGCAGACGGGUGAGUAACGCGUGGGAACAUGCCCAAAGGUACGGAACAACUGCGGGAAACUGGAGCUAAUACCGUAUGUGACCGAGAGGUGAAAGAUUUAUCGCCUUUGGAUUGGCCCGCGUUGGAUGAGCUAGUUGGCGGGGUAAAGGCCUACCAAGGGGGCGAUCCAUAGCUGGUCUGAGAGGAUGAUCAGCCACACUGGGACUGAGACACGGCCCAGACUCCUACGGGGGGCAGCAGUGGGGAAUAUUGGACCAUGGGCGCAAGCCUGCGCCAGCCAUGCCGCGUGUGUGAUGAAGGCCUUAGGGUUGGAAAGCACUUUCGCCAGGGACGAUAAUGACGGUACCUGGAUAAGAAGCCCCGGCUAACUUCGUGCCAGCCGCCGCGGUAAAAC